GAUGAACGCUGACAGCAUGCUUAACACAUGCAAGUCAACCGUGGCGGACGGGUGAGUAACGCGUAAAGAACUUGCCUCACAGAUAGGGCCAACCUUUGGAAACGAAUGCUAAUACCUGAUACUGUGAGAGAGCUUUGCGUCCCAUUAGCUAGUUGGAGAGGUAACGGCACCCCAAGGCGAUGAUGGGUAGCCGGCCUGGGAGGGUGAUCGGCCACAAGGGGACUGGGAAACGGCCCUUACUCCUACGGGAGGCAGCAGUGGGGAAUAUUGGACGAUGGACCAAAGUCUGAUCCAGCAAUUCUGUGUGCACGAUGAAGUUUUCGGAAUGUAAAGUGCUUUCAGUUGGGAAGCAGUACCAACAGAAGAAGUGACGGCUAACUACGUGCCAGCAGCCGCGGUAAUUC
rnacentral:rRNA from 1 species